rnacentral:rRNA from 1 species
UACAGAGGGUGCGAGCGUUGUCCGGAAUCACUGGGCGUAAAGGGCGCGUAGGCGGCCUGCUAAGUAGAGGGUGAAAUCCUGCGGCUCAACCGCAGGGCUGCCUUCUAAACUGUCAGGCUGGAGCACGGUAGAGGCAGAUGGAAUUCCCGGUGUAGCGGUGGAAUGCGUAGAGAUCGGGAAGAACACCAGUGGCGAAGGCGGUCUGCUGGGCCGUUGCUGACGCUGAGGUGCGACAGCGUGGGGAGCAAACAGG